rnacentral:rRNA from 1 species
ACAUGCAGUCGAGCGCGCCCUUUUGGGUGAGCGGCGGACGGGUGAGUAACACGUGGGAAUAUGCCUUUCGGUGCGGAAUAGUCUUGGGAAACUGAGGGUAAUACCGCAUACGCCCUUUGGGGGAAAGAUUUAUCGCCGAAAGAUUAGCCCGCGUUGGAUUAGGUAGUUGGUGGGGUAAUGGCUCACCAAGCCGACGAUCCAUAGCUGGUUUGAGAGGAUGAUCAGCCACACUGGGACUGAGACACGGCCCAGACUCCUACGGGAGGCAGCAGUGGGGAAUCUUAGACAAUGGGGGCAACCCUGAUCUAGCCAUGCCGCGUGAGUGAUGAAGGCCUUAGGGUUGUAAAGCUCUUUCAGCUGGGAAGAUAAUGACUGUACCAGCAGAAGAAGCCCCGGCUAACUCCGUGCCAGCAGCCGCGGUAAUACGGAGGGUGCAAGCGUUAUCCGGAUUUAUUGGGUUUAAAGGGUGCGUAGGCGGCUUCAUAAGUCUGGGGUUAAAGGCAGCAGCUUAACUGUAUGCAUGCCCUGGAAACUGUGAAGCUUGAGUGACUUGGAGGUAGCUGGAAUUCCCUGUGUAGCGGUGAAAUGCAUAGAUACGGGGAGGAAUACCGAUUGCGAAGGCAUGUUACUACGAGUAAACUGACGCUGAUGCACGAAAGCGUGGGGAUCAAACAGGAUUAGAUACCCUGGUAGUCCACGCCGUAAACGAUGAUUACUAGUUGUUGGUCGA